rnacentral:lncRNA from 1 species
AUCCAUGGUGGAGCGAAACAUGCAUGUCUAAUUCCUCUAUGAACUAGAAGCUGAACAUGGCAAAGGAAAGGAGAAAACAACGAAUAUUGUGCAGAUCCGGGUAUUUCAAAGGUAAAAUCUUGUUCACUGUCAGUGAUGAACCCCAAUAUGUGAAACAGUGGCUGCAUUACCGUUGCAUGUAAUUAUAAUGGUGUGGUCUUUGUGCAGAAACACUCGGAUCCAUGACAGAUCCGAGAGAAAGAAUGCUCAAACUGGAGAUCCAUUGGAGGAAAGGCAGGACGCAUCAUAAAGGCCAUGCUCUAUCGAUUUGGAAGGUAUAAGCACUCAUCCCUGUAGAAAUUAUGAUUUUCACAAUAUCGGGUGUUGUAAGUGAUGCACAACGAAGCUAAAACUGAGCCGAGGUUGUAUUUAGGUCCUGUUUUGUAAAGAUGAUGUUUUAUGGCUCUACAUGGUCUCAUGUUGGUGUGCUUUGUGCAGUAAAGGUGGAUCACUAAUAGAUCCGUGGGAAGGAAAGUGGAUGGACAAACAUCAGCUUCAAUGGACAAAAACGGCACAAGCUUCCAAGAGCCCAGAUCGGAGCAUCUGGGAGGUAAAAUUUCAUAUCCUUGCAAUUUCCCACCCCCAAACUUGCAUCGCUAAAUGAGCUCAUAUUAAUUGCUUUAAAUUUUAGCAUAGUGUAGAUGUGGUUGAUGUUAAUGCAAACUUGCUGC